rnacentral:misc_RNA from 1 species
CUGCCAUCUAUGGGUUGUGUAGAGCUGCACUGGCUGAGCUACAUUAUGUUUAUAUUGUUUCUUUCGCCCCUCGCUGGCUUUGCACUUGGAUGGCGUCACGUGUGAUGCUUAGGCGGGCUCUGAGCGUCACCGGCGCAUUGAUGUUCCGGCCAAACACCAUGGCGAAGGCACGCAAGCAACCCAGUUCAGACAUGGCAGCAUUUCGCGAGGUGUUUAAAUCGGCCCAGCACGUAGUUGCACUUACCGGAGCGGGGAUCAGUGCCGAGAGCGGUGUGCCUACGUUCCGUGGUACGGGAGGCCUCUGGCGAAAGUAUAAUGCGCAGGAUCUAGCCACACCUGCUGCUUUCUUGGCUAACCCAUCUCUGGUGUGGGAGUUCUACCACUACCGGCGAGAUUUAGUGCUACAGAAAAAACCUAAUGCGGCACACAAAGCUUUAGCAGAAGCAGAAAGUCACUUUGAGAAGGAAGGACGGACAUUUGUCGUUAUCACUCAAAACAUUGAUGAAUUACAUAGAGCAGCGGGAACUAAAAACCUGUUGGAGCUUCAUGGGACUUUGUUCAAGACCAGAUGCACCAAGUGUGGGCACAUAGAUGUCAACAGGGACAAUCCAAUCACUCCAGCCCUUGCUGGCAAAGGGGCUCCUGAUCCUGAUGCCCCUGAGGCUGGUGUACCAGUGGGUGAGCUGCCGAGGUGCAAGAAGUGCACUGGACUGCUGAGGCCUCAUGUUGUUUGGUUUGGAGAGUCACUAGAGCCAGACGUUCUUGCUAAGGCAAAUGUUGAACUUGAGAGGUGUGAUCUCUGUCUUGUGUUUUGGCCUAUUUCAGAUUGGGACUUCCUCUGUAGUAUACCCAGCAGCUAUGUUUGCUCCUGAAGUUGCUGCUCGAGGUGUCCCUGUUGCAGAGUUUAACCUGGAAUCUACUCCGGGCACUGAAAAUUUUGGGUUUCAUUUUGAUGGGCCCUGUGGCACUACACUACCCAAGGCACUUGCUUUGUAAAGUUUUAGUUCUGUAGUUCUCUGCAGAAGAUCGGCACAGUGCGAUGAGAGGAAAUGUUAGCACGCAUAGUGCUGGAUUUUGUGCACCAUGAAGUUCACGAGGACAUCAAUGAAGCUUGACAAUGCGAUUUGCAAGUGUACAGUGACACUUGUUCAGGACUUUAUGAUUUUAACAAUGGCAGCGACUCUAGUGAGGUAGUAGAGGUAUUGUUCAGACUUGCAUUACAAAUCAGUACAGGAAAAGCGUAUGCUUUAAGGUCUCUAUAUGUUUAUUUAACUUGUGCUUAUUUACGAGCGUUUAAUGUCUACAAUGUCAUGUAUAUUGUUUGUAAUUUAGUGGCGGUGCAGCUUUAUGUUCUUGGCAUAACCGACUUGGGACCCAGGCUAAUGCAAUAAGCAAACCUUUGUGUGAAUACUGGCAGUCUCAACUCGCCAUGCCUGUUAGUGUGGUACAAAUAAGAUGGCCUUUGUGAAGAUAUAAUUCCCAAUAGCAGAAGAGGGGGCAUUGCAACGCCAGAAUAAGCCUACCUAUCUACCUAGUCUCUCUCUGCUGCUUCUCCUAAUGUGCCCACCCUUAGUCAUUUGACAUCUAUAACUGCUAUUUUAUGUGUGUAGUAGUUCAUAUAGAUGUAUACAUUUUUUUCUACCCGUUAGUUCUCUUAGAGUUACUACUCUCAUUUGGCAUACUAACAAGUUGUGGCAUUUGCACUUUUCAGGUGGACCUCAUGAUUUUUUUUUAAUAUAUUCAAGCCAGCUGUGGUGUACACCCAUGACUCAUGAGCAACAGAACUUGUGAAAUUGCAGAAAUAUGGCAGUGGCAUUGAUGAAACUUAGUCCUGUGUAUUCAUCUAAAAGUUGGUGCUAAUGAAUCCUUUGGCAAUUGGUCAAUUGCAUUGUGUCCAAUUGUCAAACGUAAUGCAACGCCGGCACUCAUUCUAGAUUGUGAAAAAAAUGAAGCACAAUGUUGCCACUAAACAUGUACAGUCACGUAGCAAGUUUGGAACAGAUUGAUGCAGCAAGAAAUUUUCAUGAUGAGACAAGCGCAAAAAAAAAAGAAAAAAAAGAAAAAAAAAACACACACUCAGAGAGGGCACAGACAAGUUCAUCAUGAACCAUUACCAACACGCCCAACUGGCAGUCAUCCUUAAGAAAUUUUCUUAGCGGCCUGAGUGCAUUGAUUGAAAUCGGGUGUUCCGGCCUAUGGUUGGUACAACUUUAGAAGGCAGUGGCAUUUCCACGUCAAAGUUGGAUGCACACAAGCUUGCACCAGUGGGCACGAAUUCUAGGCUGAUACUAUGAGCCAGACAGAGAAUACUAUCGAGAACAUGUGCAAGACGUCGCACGUCACUGCUGCUUUUUACUGCUGGCAGUUUGUAAUAACAGUGGCCAGGUGCCGGCAUUGUUUUCUUUUUUUUAUAGCAGUAAAGCAUGGCCAGGAACAGAGCCAGGACAUCGGAUGAGCAAUUCCAGCUGUUAUAAGUUUUGUGAGCUGGGAAAAUCGUUUCUGCAUUACACAAUAUUAAAGUACCUUUCACAAGCAUGUGCACAACAUGGGGCCAAGCAGAAACAGUAUCUUUUCACCACCAGCAUUGAUUCUCAAGUGUACUGUCAGCUAGUGUAUGUCUAAAUAUUGAAUAGCAGCAAAGGGAUAGCAUUUUUUUUCUUAAAAUUUUUUUUUUCUAGGAAUGCAUUAAUUUUUUAAAAAGAAAUAAAUGCAUUACUUUCUUAAAAUGCUCAAGUCCUUUUAAAUGCAAAGCAUUGCUUAGCGAACUUCGACGACUUUGAGCAUAUAUAUCUAUCUAUCUAGCCGCUUACGAUUUUUAGCUCUCCUGGCCGUUUCGAUGAUGGGAUUUAUACCAAAAUUGGUAUGGCAUAACCUGAAUGUAUAUCGACUAUAAACUGACAAGUCGUAACAUGAAAAUCAUGACUUGUGUCAUGAAUGUCUUGGUCGUGCUGCUCUUGCAGUGGUUUCGUUCUUUUGAUAUAUUGCAAAACUGGUGUGGUAUGACAUGAGUGACAGGUCCUCGCAUGCAAAUCCUGACAUGCGUGUCAUGCAAGUCGUGUAGAAGAAUCAACGAGACGAGACAACGCCCUUGCUGCGGGCCGGCUGUUCUUUAUCUAACUUCUUUCUCUUCCACCUCGCUCUACCUGCUCUUUUGCUAGAUCUCUGUGCCCUCGAGCCCCAGUGUCUUUCUUGGUCGCGACACUCUGCCAUGACUGCGAAGCGCGUGGAGAGGCCAUUAAUGCUUCUGGUGGCAGGCACUGGCUGCAUUGCGGUGGUCGGUCCUGGCCACGCUGCGUUUCUACGUGAAGAUCUACCUCGGUGUUUUCCGGAGGUUGGAAUUGGCUCUGUCGCUGCGGUCGCCCAGUAGGACGCUGAAGCGUGGCUAGAACCUUUCCUGAUGAUGACUGUAGAAUAUGACAUUUGCUGUGUUGUGGUUGUCUACUACCCCGGCCUCGCUACGACAUUGCAAGAAAAGUUGUCUCAGUCUUCCGUCCCGCCGUGGUGGUCUAGUGGCUAAGGUACUCGGCUGCUGACCCGCAGGUCGCGGGAUCGAAUCCCGGCUGUGGUGGCUGCAUUUCCGAUGGAGGGGAAAAUGUUGUAGGCCCGUGUGCUCAGAUUGGGUGCACGUUAGAGAACACCAGGUGGUCGAUAUUUCUGGAGCCCUCUACUACGGCAUCUCUCAUAAUCAUAUGGUAGUUCUGGGACGUUAAACCCAAUAUAUCAUCAUGUCUCAAUCUUUCCUUGUGGAGGAAGCUGCAGCUUUGCGGUUGUCGAAGUUUUGUGACAUGACGCGGCUUCACGGAGACUUUUCUCGGUGGUGGUUUUGGCGGGCGGCUCUGACUGCAUCGGCAUGGUUGCAGAUCCAUCGCGUGACGCUGGCCUUUGUCCCGCCAUAAUUUGAACAGGGCAGGGAAUGGUGGAUUUGGUGAUAAAACAUCCAGUAUUUCUAGACGUCUGCGUCAAGGCGGGAUCGAGUUUCUGCGCUGACUUUUGAUGUGGCUUGUGCUGUUGUCACGUUCUCUCUUUGUGGGGCUCCCCGAUGCUCUGAAACGAGUGAUUCUCGCAGCUGCACUGCGUGCAGGUGGAAUAUUUUUGACACAAGCUGUCUCAAAAUCAGGAGACUUGUGCUGCACGGGCAGAUCUGCCUCUAUCUGGUCAGGAUCUCCGGAUAUGCUUGGAAAGUGUAGUGAUAGGACACCCACUGUAUUCGCAGAAUCUGUGGACACAUACUGGUGCGGUAUUAAGGCGUUUAGUAUGACGGGUGCCGGUGAACCCAGGUGUCCAAGCGAUGACGAGCAUGUGGGAAGCUUUCCAGAUGGAUGUGGCUGGGAACCAGUGUUGGCCACUGGCAGGGUUGUUUGGGCUUCAAUUGCCGAGGCAGAUUUGGAGCACAUCUUGGGCAUGGGUUUUGUACUUGGCCCGGCUACGCAGGUAUCUGUCGGUGAACUGCAGUUCGCAAUCUCGAGGAGAUCAACCUGUCCAGCUUCGACCUCUGUUGAAAGACGUGUCAGGUUCGUCGGUGGCGUCAUAGAAAAUAGGGCUGAAAGCAGCAAUCGGAGCUGCACUCCACUCUGCCCAAGACUGCUGACUGACGCCUUCGCACCUGUGCCAUGCCGCCCCGCCGCGGUGGUCUAGUGGAUAAGGUACUCGGCUGCUGACCCACAGGUCCCGGGAUCGAAUCCCGGCUGCGGCGGCUGCAUUUCCGAUAGAGGCAGAAAUGUAGGCUCGUGUGCUCAGAUUUGGGUGCAUGUUAAAGAACCUCAGGUGUUCGAAACUUCCAGAGCCCUCCACUACGACAUCUCUCAUAAUCAUAUGGUGGUUUUGGGACGUUAACCCCCACGUAUAUCGAUCAACCUGUGCCAUGCCGCGGCACUAUCCUGAAGACGGACCACGGCCACACUCCACUUCGGCUGCUCGUCCACGCUUUGCGAGCAGCAAGAACGUUCACAGUCGCCACCCAGUCGUCGGCGGCGUUCUGAAAGCCGUGGGAUUCCGGUAGUUCACAGAGAGCUGGCGAUAGUUGGACGACAGGCGAAAAGGCACAUAGUGUCAACACGAAGCCACCCAGCUGCCCCUCAAGCUGCAUGAGGACAUCAUGGAGCUCUCGGUGUUGCUCUGGUGUGCUCGCCUCCAGGUCAUGUAAGGCAGCUACGUCCAGCAUAGUGUCGGCGACGCUCAAUGCCGGGAGAAUGGCGCUUAAGACGGCAGUGUUCGUCACUCUCACGACGUUGAUCGUGACACGGAGUCGCGCGAUGGUACGGCGCUGUCGGGGGUGAAGCCUGAAGAGACAGAACUCGCGUUCAGCGAGCCUGCAGCGGUUCCCGCACUCACAUAGUUGCGACCCACGAGCAAAGAAGCCUGCACGGUGUUCUUUGGCGGCUCGUAUGUGGGGAGAGUACCAGCAACGGAAUGCAGGCCGUUGGAAGUUUGAACAGCAUUUCCAAAGGACAAGAGCCUGUCAGUAUUAAGGCCGCGAAGUGGUAACAUGGUGUCUAUUGGGUGAUGACCUGGUACCGCAGGGGAGGCAUGGACGCCAUCCACUGAUAGUCCAAUGGGCAGCUGAAGCGGCAGUCAAUGACUCCAUCGCCAAUGAAGCGUGGAUGGCGUUCCUGGAUUGAGCAGGCCGCACUUCCGUCGACCCAUGAGGCUACGAAUAGAUGGCUUGAGCAGCAAGGUUUAAUUGUCGAGCUGCAUCAUUGUAGAGGAAUAAAUGAGACUAGAGACAAAGGCCUUGCUGCAGGCUGGCUGUUCUUUAUCCGACUUCCUUCUCUUCCACCUCGCUCUACGUGCCCUUUCGCUAGUUCUCCGCGAGCUCCAGCUCCAGCGUCUUUCUUGGUCACGGCAGUCAUGACUACAUGCCACGCUCAUGGUGCGCUCGCGGUCGCUUUGCUAGCUUCACAUAUAUCAAAUAUGGUAUUAUGUGACGUGAAUGGUUGUCGAAGGUAUAUGACUGGUGCAAACAUGAAAUCAUGAAAUGCAUGUAAAGUAAGAAUGGGACAUGCCAUGCUCAUGGUGCGCUCACGGUCAUUUCGCUAGCUUCACAUAUACCAAAUUUGGUAUCACAUGACGCAAAUGGACGGCGAAGGUAAAUGACGUGUCCAAACAUGAUAAUCAUGACGUGUGUGUCAUGUAAAACAUGAAUACAUGCUACGCUCGUAGAGCCCUCACAGUGCUUUCGCUAGCUUAACAUAUACCAAAUUUGGUUCUACAGGAUGUGAAUAGACGACGAAGCUGUAUGACUGGUGAAAACAUGAUAAUCAUGAGAUGCGUGUCAUGUAAAAACAUGACUGCAUGCUACGCUCAUAACCCCCUCGCGGCAGUCUUCCUAGCUUCACAUUUACCAAAUUUGGUAUUACAGGGCGUGAAUGGUCGACGAGCACAAAUGCCAGGUGCAAACAUGGUAAUCGUGACAGGGAAGUGAUGCACGGCAUAAUUUAAGUCUCCCUCAUAAUGUUGAGCUGAUUUUAAAGUGACAUAUCCACCUUCCUCAUUCGUUCUUCGCAUAUAAUCUAUUCUCAGUGUACGUGGGAUCUGCCAAUUUUUUAAUAUCAGUAGUUGAAAAUCAGUUACACAAUUACGAUAAGUCAUUGGGUCAGUACUAGAAUGUUCUAGCAGAUAGAUAUAUUGGUUUCCAUUUUACCUAGAUUUUCACUUGUUAAAUCGAUGCUGUAGACAUUUUGGGGAUUGAUCAUUCAUUUCAUUUCGACUUGCUACUUGCCAUUAGUGUCUUUGAAAGCGAUGUCAAAUUGAAGUGAGCAUGUUGUAUACAGCUUUCUCGUGUCAUUUUCAUUUGGACGAUCCUUUCCUUGAGCCCAUGUAAAUAAAAUAAAAAUUGCAUAAUAUUGACAAGCUGUGCAGCCGGCAUAACGUCUGGUUUUUUAUUCAGUAUCCAUUGUCGAAACCUGCAGAUGCUAUUCUUUGUGACACUUUUUGAAUAAUGUUCAAAUAGUUAUUUUUUUAAGAAUGCUGAACUGACUUUUUUUUUUCUUAAAUGACCUCUGCCAAAAAUAGAUGCAUAAGAAAGUGUUGUCAAUUCUUCAUCAACUGUGUCUAGAAUAAAAUAUGGUGUUCUUUGUAAAACUUA